rfam:Pteropus alecto contig92245, whole genome shotgun sequence.
UUUUUAGUAUGAGUAUGUCCCAUGCAAUAUUUAAGAUAUACUUACACUAAAA